rnacentral:rRNA from 1 species
UACAGAGGUCUCAAGCGUUGUUCGGAUUCAUUGGGCGUAAAGGGUGUGUAGGUGGCGCCGUAAGUCGGGUGUGAAAUUUCGGAGCUUAACUCCGAAACUGCAUUCGAUACUGCCGUGCUUGAGGACUGGAGAGGAGACUGGAAUUUACGGUGUAGCGGUGAAAUGCGUAGAUAUCGUAAGGAAGACCAGUGGCGAAGGCGGGUCUCUGGACAGUUCCUGACGCUGAGGCACGAAGGUCAGGGGGAGCAAAACGGG